CAGCUGCUGGAAAUGCAAGUACUUUUCCAGUUUGGGCCAUUGUUGUUAUCACUGUGGAAUCUUUCCUUUGUGCCUUGUUUGUUGCAGGUUGCAUUUAUGGGGUUUUGUUUUGCAUGAGGAGACGCAGACGAUCAACUAUCUAUGAAGUAAAUCAAGAAACAGUGUGAUAUGCUUCAUAUACUCCUUGACAGUUCCUGCCCAUUCUCCUGCCACAUUAUUAAGCUUUAAAAACUGGACACUUUACACUUGUGGUUUCUGUUACAACUUCCCAAAAUGCUUCUCUUUUCUUUUGUGCCCGUAAUUCACUCUUUUAAUUCGAUGUUUAAUUCAACUUCAAUCAAAACCUUA